rnacentral:rRNA from 1 species
CCUACGGGAGGCAGCAGUGGGGAAUAUUGCACAAUGGGGGAAACCCUGAUGCAGCGACGCCGCGUGAGCGAUGAAGUAUUUCGGUAUGUACAGCUCUAUCAGCAGGGAAGAAGAUGACGGUACCUGACUAAGAAGCCCCGGCUAACUACGUGCCAGCAGCCGCGGUAAUCCGUAGGGGUCAAGCGUUAUCCGGAUGUACUGGGUGUACAGGGAGCGUAGACGGCGAUGCAAGCCAGAUGUGAAAGCCCGGGGCUAAACCCCGGGACUGCAUUUGGAACUGUGUGGCUGGAGUGUCGGAGAGGCAGGCGGAAUGCCUAGUGUAGCGGUGAAAUGCGUAGAUAUUAGGAGGAACACCAGUGGCGAAGGCGACCUGCUGGACGAUGACUGACGUUGAGGCUCGAAAGCGUGGGGAGCAAACAGGAUUAGAUACCCGAGUAGUC